CACGUAGGCGGAUCGUUAAGUCGGGGGUGAAAUCCUGGAGCUCAACUCCAGAACUGCCUUCGAUACUGGCGAUCUUCGAGUCCGGGAGAGGUGAGUGGAACUCCGAGUGUAGAGGUGAAAUUCGUAGAUAUUCGGAAGAACACCAGUGGCGAAGGCGGCUCACUGGCCCGGUACUGACGCUGAGGUGCGAAAGCGUGGGGAGCAAACA
rnacentral:rRNA from 1 species